AAAACUAAUUCUCUAAUCUUUAAGCAGCAGCAUACAAAAAUUGGAUCAGUGACAUCCUUUGUGGAAGAAAAUAAUAGUUUUGAGCUCCAGGUCCUUCUAAGUUCUAACAACAAAGAGAAUCUCCAUCCAGCACAAUAAACCCCCCAUCUUGGCUGUGAAACAACUCUUAUGCUUCACGCUAUCUAUGGGGACACUAUCCGAA
rnacentral:misc_RNA from 1 species